AUGCAGUUGAGCGCUGAAGGUUGGUACUUGUACCGACUGGAUGAGCAGCGAACGGGUGAGUAACGCGUGGGGAAUCUGCCUUUGAGCGGGGGACAACAUUUGGAAACGAAUGCUAAUACCGCAUAAAAACUUUAAACACAAGUUUUAAGUUUGAAAGAUGCAAUUGCAUCACUCAAAGAUGAUCCCGCGUUGUAUUAGCUAGUUGGUGAGGUAAAGGCUCACCAAGGCGAUGAUACAUAGCCGACCUGAGAGGGUGAUCGGCCACAUUGGGACUGAGACACGGCCCAAACUCCUACGGGAGGCAGCAGUAGGGAAUCUUCGGCAAUGGACGAAAGUCUGACCGAGCAACGCCGCGUGAGUGAAGAAGGUUUUCGGAUCGUAAAACUCUGUUGGUAGAGAAGAACGUUGGUGAGAGUGGAAAGCUCAUCAAGUGACGGUAACUACCCAGAAAGGGACGGCUAACUACGUGCCAGCAGCCGCGGUAAUACGUAGGUCCCGAGCGUUGUCCGGAUUUAUUGGGCGUAAAGCGAGCGCAGGUGGUUUAUUAAGUCUGGUGUAAAAGGCAGUGGCUCAACCAUUGUAUGCAUUGGAAACUGGUAGACUUGAGUGCAGGAGAGGAGAGUGGAAUUCCAUGUGUAGCGGUGAAAUGCGUAGAUAUAUGGAGGAACACCGGUGGCGAAAGCGGCUCUCUGGCCUGUAACUGACACUGAGGCUCGAAAGCGUGGGGAGCAAACAGGAUUAGAUACCCUGGUAGUCCACGCCGUAAACGAUGAGUGCUAGAUGUAGGGAGCUAUAAGUUCUCUGUAUCGCAGCUAACGCAAUAAGCACUCCGCCUGGGGGAGUACGA
rnacentral:rRNA from 1 species